GCUGUAGCUCAGUGGCAGAGCAUCUGCUUUGCACUCAAGAAGAUCUCACAUUCAAUCCCUGGCAUCUCCA